CCCAGAGACGCUGCGGCGUGCUUAACACAUGCAAGUCGAACGAUGAUCUCCAGCUUGCUGGGGGGAUUAGUGGCGAACGGGUGAGUAACACGUGAGUAACCUGCCCUUGACUCUGGGAUAAGCCUGGGAAACUGGGUCUAAUACCGGAUAUGACCAUUCCGCGCAUGCGGUGGUGGUGGAAAGCUUUUGCGGUUUUGGAUGGACUCGCGGCCUAUCAGCUUGUUGGUGGGGUAAUGGCCUACCAAGGCGACGACGGGUAGCCGGCCUGAGAGGGUGACCGGCCACACUGGGACUGAGACACGGCCCAGACUCCUACGGGAGGCAGCAGUGGGGAAUAUUGCACAAUGGGCGCAAGCCUGAUGCAGCGACGCCGCGUGAGGGAUGACGGCCUUCGGGUUGUAAACCUCUUUCAGUAGGGAAGAAGCCGCAAGGUGACGGUACCUGCAGAAGAAGCGCCGGCUAACUACGUGCCAGCAGCCGCGGUAAUACGUAGGGCGCAAGCGUUAUCCGGAAUUAUUGGGCGUAAAGAGCUCGUAGGCGGUUUGUCGCGUCUGCUGUGAAAGACCGGGGCUCAACUCCGGUUCUGCAGUGGGUACGGGCAGACUAGAGUGAUGUAGGGGAGACUGGAAUUCCUGGUGUAGCGGUGAAAUGCGCAGAUAUCAGGAGGAACACCGAUGGCGAAGGCAGGUCUCUGGGCAUUAACUGACGCUGAGGAGCGAAAGCAUGGGGAGCGAACAGGAUUAGAUACCCUGGUAGUCCAUGCCGUAAACGUUGGGCACUAGGUGUGGGGGACAUUCCACGUUUUCCGCGCCGUAGCUAACGCAUUAAGUGCCCCGCCUGGA
rnacentral:rRNA from 1 species